CCCUUAGACGUUCUGGGCCGCACGCGCGCUACACUGACGAAGGCAACGAGCUUUCCUUUACCGAAAGGUACGGGUAAUCUUUUGAAACUUCGUCGUGCUGGGGAUAGAUCCUUGCAAUUUUUGAUCUUAAACGAGGAAUGCCUAGUAAGCGUAAGUCAUCAACUUGCGUUGAUUACGUCCCUGCCCUUUGUACACACCGCCCGUCGCUACUACCGAUUGAAUGGUUUAGUGAGGCCUUCGGAUCCGCGACUCGUUUGUGGAGAAGUUGGACAAACUCAGUCAUUUAGAGGAAGUAAAAGUCGUAACA
rnacentral:rRNA from 1 species